rnacentral:lncRNA from 1 species
GUUUGAGCUUUAUCACCGAUCUUAGCUGGACCGCCAAAUCAAACUCUUGAUUUUGCUUUGAAUCUGUUUCGAUAGAACCAUUGAACUUCUCUUUGAUGGUUAAACCUUGAUAAUUAUCAUCAAAUCCUUCAAUUCACCAUAUAGUGAUCUAUCUAUCCUCUCCUGAUGUUGUACCUUAUCUUGUUGGCUAUUCUGGUUACAACAUCCGAAAAUUUGUACCUUCGAUUUUUGCUCAGAUGACUUAAAAAAAAAAAAAAAAAAAAAAAAAAAA